AUUAUUUUGGCAGAUUAGUGCAUUAAAUUUAGAAUUUAAUUAUAUGAUUUUAUUUUAUCAUAAAUAAU
rnacentral:tRNA from 1 species